rnacentral:lncRNA from 1 species
UGUACUGGAGUCGGGAGGCACUUAGAUAAUGUAUUAUUCUAGGGCCAUAGUACAGAAGGUGAUAUUAUUUGUUUUUUUGAGCUCUGGAGUCCGGAGGAGAUCUGAAGAGACUAUUCAUUGCAAAUGUUUAGUUAGUUGAAUAAUCUGUGUUAAAAAAUCUCACUAUUUGCCUUACUCCAUUUCAGGAAGCUGCAAAUCCUUUUGAAUAUUGUGAUGUGGUUACCACAACCACGCACAAGUCCCUCAGAGGGCCAAGGGCUGGCAUGAUCUUCUACAGGAAAGGCCCUAAGCCCCCCAAGAAGGGCCAGCCUGAGGGUGCUGUUUAUGAUUAUGAAGACAAUAUCAACUUUGUAGUGUUCCCAUCUCUCCAAGGUGGCCCUCACAACCACCAGAUUGCUGCACUUGCUGUUGCUCUACAGCAAACUAUGUCGCCUGGCUUCAAGGCCUAUGCAAAGCAAGUGAAGGCCAAUGCUGUUGCAAUUGGAAACUAUCUCAUGAGCAAGGGCUACAAGAUGGUGACUGAUGGAACUGAGAACCACCUUGUUCUCUAGGAUCUCCGCCCCCUUGGCUUGACUGGUAUGCAAAUUAACAUCUAACUGGGCUUCAUUUUCAAGGGGCCAAACUAUAACUUGUUUUGCUGUUGUCUUAUAUCCACAGGAAACAAGGUUGAAAAGCUAUGUGAUCUUUGCCUCAUCACAUUGAACAAGAAUGCUGUCUUCGGUGACAACAGUGCAUUGUCUCCGGGUGGUGUCCGCAUUGGUUAGUAUCAUUUAUUUAUUCAUUUCUUCUGUUGUGGUGCAAGCUUCAAUGAAGUAUUAGUCCAACAUUGCUAUCCACUUGUCAGUUCGAAUUUUUUUAUGGUCUUUGAGCCUACCUUCUUAAUGAAAAAGGUGAUGUGUCUAGAUAUUUUCUUGGUGUCUGGCCCUAGUAUGGCCAUUGUUGGCAAACCAAAAAUUAGAUUAGAGCUCUCAUUUGGUCACAUAGUUCAUCUUGAUGACCAAUAAGCCAAAACCUUGACCACAAAAGUGAUACCCCUGAUUAUGGUAUGUUGGGAGGGGGAGGGGUGUAUGCCUAACUAAAAAAAUCCCAAAAAUGAUUCCUGAAAUCGGUAAACUUACAAUAAUUCUGGGUGUAAUCUCUGAAAUUCGGAAUUGCAACUAUAUUUUAUACAUUGUUUACCAUUGUCCCAAAUACAUAUAGAGUGAUGCUUGUGCCUUUAUUUGGUCCUUGCUUCCUGUGAUGGGAAUCAUGGGAUAUACUCCUUAAGAAUCAUCUGAUCUCUUGAACUGUUGCAGUCAGGUUAAUAGUUCUGGUUCCAUUUUACUUCACCGUUCUUCACAUUUUUUGUACAAUUGUGCUCUGUAUUUUAUCCGGCUUAUCUGUGCUGCAGUAAGAGUGUGCAGGAUCAAGCCGGUGGUGAACCAACGGUGGGGGUGGUGGCCGAGGUGAAACCGGAAACGGAUCGAGGGGAUCACGAGGACGGCAAGAGUGUCGUGUCCGAGAGCGAGAGCGAUGAGGACUCCGAUGGGUCAGGGAGCGAAGAUUCGGAGGAUUCCGAGGAGGAGAGGCGGAGGGAGGAGGAGAGGACGCGGCGGUGAGCUGAGCGGCUUGCGGCCAUGGCCGCACGCGCUAUUGCUGAGCGCAAAGAUGCUGUUGCGAGGCUCUAGGGGGAGAAGGCGGGGCUUGAGAAGCUGCCCGCCGAGCGUGAGAAGGAGCAGGCUCAGGAGGUGAGCCUGCUUCAUGGCUAUUUUCUUUUGCUCGAGACUUGAAAGGUUUCUUAAUGUGAUGACAUCAAUAUAUAUCGCUCUGAACAGAACGACAGAAACUGCUCUUAUAGCAUGCAUGAUGUUAACUCUUUUUUGUGUUUUAUACCAUCAUUUAGUUAGUACCACAAUGUGCCCCCUACAUUCCAAACUAUAGAUCAUACAAACUUUUUAGCUUAUAUAUGUCUAUCUAGGUGCAUAGCAGCAUAGGUACCUAGAAAAGCCAAACCAACCAAUAAUUUGUGAUGGAGGGAGUAUGUUUUUUGUUGUUAUUAUUCAAAAUGUAUUCUGUUUAGUUUUUUUUGCAAUACUGCAUUUGAGCUCAAAAUCCUACACAUAUUUCAUUGGUUAUGGAACUGUAAGUUCAUCUGAAGUACUUAUAAGGCAGAUUCAAGUAUUCAUUUGCAAAACCAUUUCUACACACAAGUUAUCCUGGUGAGAUGGUUUCUAGAAAGUAGUGAUUCCUUAUCAGCUUCUUGUUCAACAUGUUUCAGGCUUCAGAGUUGCAGACUAGUAUGAUUGAAACAUUGGAAGCAGUGGAGAUAGAGAAACAGAGACAUCACAACACUAGAAUGGAAGCCCUUGCACGUUUGGCUAGACUUGAGGUAUAUGCCUGUCUACAAACGACCCCUACCCAAUCUUCACAGGUCUUAGCAAUGGUCUUAAAGAAGGUUUUCACAGGUUACAAACGGUGAGCUUGCAAAGUCACUUGCCAGGGAACAAUGGGAGCUGGAAGUUCAAGUAUGUUUUCUCUCCCCCCCAUCGUAUAUUAUGUUUUUGGGCUUAAGAUAAGAAGCAAUGGAUAAUCUACAGACUGCCCUGCUCUGAGUCGACAGCAGAUGUAGAGGCAAACUAUAGAUGUGACUAUGCAUAGAUAGUUGAAAGCAUGGGUUUUUAUUCUUCCCUUCAAGUUUAGAGAAUGCUAACAUUUUCAAGAGCCUGCACCUUAACAUGUGGUCCACAAUGCUAUGACUAGACAAACUUGAUACAUUCUGGCAAUGGAAUAAUGGGUUAGUCUAGAGUGACCUUGCACUGGAGUUCUGUGCACAAAUGUAAUUAACUAUUUUUUGUUGCUUUCGUAUUGCUGGAGUCCGAUAUUUUACCAUAACAACUGCUAGCUAUGCGUUGAAUGUGAUUCAUAAUCCAUAGGUGUUUCACAAAUUAUACAAUGAUCUAUUGUUAAACUGAAAAUUGUUUAUUCUUGAUAUUUGAAUAGGUAGAUCAAGUGGCGCAGCUUCGAGAGGAAGUUGAAUUGAAGAAACUUGCUCAAGAUAGUAAGUUGACCAUGACCUUCUUUUUGGGGCUCUCUGGCUUAGAGUUUACUGUGUUUUUAAGAACUUUUAGUUCGUUCUUAGGCCAACGCUAUAUUAUGCUGACUUAUUUUGUUUUCUUCUUGAACUUAUUUAAGUAUGACAUGCCAUUCUUUUUGGUUUCGACUAAUAGCACUUUUUUUGGUAUGUGACCUUUGUUACCAUUCCAUGAACAAGAAUACAGAAGAAAGCUAACAAAGAUACAAAAGACAAGUGCCCCUCCGGUUGAUGAAGUAAGCAAUCAACUUACAUUUGCCAGUGGCUUUUCAUUCCCUCAACUGAUAUAAUAUUUAAUUGAGCCUUUUUUAGUAGAACUAUUGACUCCUCGAAAACAUGUCUCUUUACCUUAUCUAUUUGUAAUAUGUGUUAACUUUUGUCUAGAUAGAAUCUUUGAGAAGGUUCAAGUUGGAGGAAGAAAUUGUUGAUGCAGAAUACACUCUGACAUGUGACAGAAUUGUGAAGGACAAGGUAGGUUUUCCCGUGUAUGACUGAUCUCAUGUAGUGAUUAAUUCUUAUUUACAAAUGGUAGUUUCAAUUAAGCCCUUACAAAUCUCUCCCACAAUGGGAACUGCUGAUACCUUGAUUGAGACAUUUUGACGCCAGAGCUGAGGAAGCAUUGUACAUUUGUCAUAUAAUGGCUCCAGUGUAGCGAGUCAGAUAUUUUGCCUUGUGCUCAAACUGCUCGUGUGUGUGUGUUUUGGUAGGGAAUGUACAGGUUCAAACCUUGAUGUUAUGUUGUAUUUUUUGGUAGAUGACCCAUGGUAGAAAUAGCGCUGUUAUGUUUAUGGCACUCUCAUGUUCAUGUUCAUGCACAAAUAUGGAAGCCACAUUUUGUGUUCAUCAUGCUUUCCUAUAUCUUUGUGCACAUGUGAUUUAAUGCCAGUUGUGUAUUUAUGAGAAUUUUGGUUUAUUUUAUAGGAUUCCGGCUAUCAUCAAGUGACUCCUCCCCCUUACAUUGACUUUGCGGACAGAUGUCUCAAUUCUAAUGGUGGAGCUACGAACAACAUAUAUCAAUGUAUUUGUGAACUUAUGUAUUUGGACUUAUGUGAAUUUGUGAACUUAUGUAUUUGGACUUAUGUGAAUUUGUGAACUUAUAUAUUUGGACUUGUGUGAAUUUGUGAUAUGAACAUAUAUCAAUGUGUUUGAAAUAUGUAUUGUAUGUGAUAUAUUGUGUUGCAUGUGAUAUUAUGUGUGUCUAAUUUUUCAUUUUUGUAUUUUUAUUUUUUUCUGAAAAAGGGUUAAGAACGUGGGUACCCACGUUCUUAAGGUUAAGAACGUGGGUACUCACGUUCUUAAGGUUAAGAACGUGGGUACCGUCGAACUUAUUGUGCAGUCCGCGCAGACCUCUGCAGGACACAUAAGUUCGACGGCCACGUGACCCCGUCGAACUUAACCGUAAGAACGUGGGUGCCGUCGAACUUAUGGGAAAAAAUUCGACGGCCCCCGUCGAACUUAAAAACGCACGUUCUUAAUGUUAAGUUCGACGGUACCCACGUUCUUAAUGUUAAGUUCGACGGUACCCACGUUCUUAAGGUUAAGUUCGACGGGGCCGUCGAACUUACUUCUCUAAGUUCGUCCAAAAAUCGUCGUCGGCUAUAUUCGUCGGUAAACCCACGUUCUUACGGUAAGUUCGACGGCCUAUUACAUUAAGUUCGACGGUUUUUCACCCACGUUCUUUAACCAGUUUCCUGUAGUGGAUGCCAGAGCCAGCCCAUGUUAGUCUUAGCAAUUAAGCAAGUGUCUAGUUCAGCUUUGUUAUCAUUAAAAUCAACUAAAUAUAGAUGUCCAUCUAAUACUCCCUUAAAUGCUAUUGAAUCAUCACUUUUUCUAAAGACAGUAACACCUACAUCAGUGAAUAGGCAGUUGUAGCCCAUUUUGCAUAAUUGAGAAACAGAAAGUAAAUUGUAAUCUGUAAAGCCCAAAAAUUUGUAUCAGAGAAAAAUAAUGAUAUAAAUAAAUAGAUAUAGUUAUAUGUCAAUGUCUUGGGGAAUUUCGGAACCUAUGUGAUUAAUUAUCAUCUUUUCUCUUUUGCAUCUGUAAAUAAAGAGACCAAGUUAAGCAAAUUAAAGGUGCUUCCAUGCUAAUAUUUUUAUGUGAUGAAUUUGAUUUGAAUAAAAGAAUCAUAACUUAAAUUUGAAUUCAAAUUAUAAAUGAGAAAAUAUAACAGAAAAUGAGUAAAAGAAAGGAAAAUACAAAAGAAAAGAAAAAGGGAAAUCAGCCCACCUCGGCCCAAAGACACGCGUCGGCCCACCUUCAGUUUUUCCUGGCUAGCCCACUAACCAGCGUCCCAGUGAAUGACCACCGGGGCCCACUCCUCGGUCCCCAGCGUGGCUUCGUGCAUGCUCCCGGGGUCCCUAACCGAUGGGCCGCGGUCUCUGUGCACGAGCCCGGGCUGCCAGCCUCACUCCAAUUCCCCCCCCCCCCGUCCAACAAGCUCUCGCUACCGGUGGGCCCUGCAUGUCAGGCCUAUCUUCUCCGUGGCCACACCCACUUCUCCGAAAACCAUGCAACUCCAAAUCCGCUUUCCUCUCCUUGGUAGCUGCAUGCCUGUGUCCUCGUGGGUAUAAAGACCGAGACCCCCCUCUGUUGCCCCAACUCUUUGGGGGCGCUCCUGCCACCAAAACGGGCAUCCACCGCCAUGGGAGAGAAGAGAGGUCGGAAAGGGAAAAGACAAGGGACUCCGCCGCCAUGGAACUUGUACAGGGACCAACGUCGGGGCCUCUGUAUUAGCCCAGGUGCUUCACCAUGUGGCGGGGAGGGUUUCUGUGGUCCCUCCUGGCAGGAUUGGCUGGUGAUGACUCAUGAAUCGCUCACCGGAACAAUUCCAACGUCGCGGAUCCCCCACGACUAUGGAUGGAUCCCUACGCCUCGACGUUCGCCGGUAAAUUGCCCUCCCAUAGGUUUGCCUUCCUCUCUGAUUAGUGUAGCACACUUCUGAUUUGGCGGGGGAAUCCUAGUUCGUCGCACUCGCUUCUCCGGUGUGGGCGCCGCCGUCACGGGCAUGUGCCCCGCCGUGCUCAGCUGUUGCGUCACGGAGGAAGAAGAAGCCCCCUGCACCGUCCAUCCUAGGAUAGACGGUUGAGAUAUGAAGUAGAGAGAUCGCUUCAUAGGGUAGAUUAGAGCCGUGGGGUGGUGAUCGGGCGACCCAUGUGGAAUCAGGCUUCAUUAAAUCUAUGACGUAGAUCUUGGGAUGUGCGGUUCUGGGCGCUCGAUUCUUGAUCUGAACUGGAUCACUGGAUCAAGAUCCGAUGACCACUAUCGCAUACCGGUUCGGGUUAUGGUAGAUCUUAUCUGAACCAUUGAUCUGAAUCUGUAUGGUUCAUAUUGAACCCUACCCCUUCACCGAACCAGUUUUACAAAUAGGAGCCCUAGUUUCUAUGAAUUUAUCCGCCAAUCACCCAGUGUUGUUGCAUUAACAGUUGUGCCCUCAGAUUUCACAAAUAAGCCCCUCGACUUUCCAAAUAGACCCUGGGAUCUAUUUUGAGGUAUAAAAUUUAAGUAAAAAUGAUUAGAAAACUUGUAAACCCCAUAAUCUACUCAUUUUAAUUCCGAUUUGACCCGUUCGAAUUGCGUUGGACUCAUACGAAUAUUACCUACACCAUAGUAACAUCAUUUUACCAUGCAACAUGCUCUCAAAAAUAAAUAAAUAAUUUGUCCAAACAUAUGGUUAUUGGAUUAACAUAUUUAAUCUGAGCUAAUCUAGGAUUUUAAUUUGGAUCAUCUACUCGUAUAUGAUUCUGUAGUAACUUAGAGUGAAGGUUGAGUUAGUUAUAUAUUUUCUCACAUAAUUGAUUUUAAUAAUCAUAAUAUAUAGUUUAUUGAUUAAUCACUUAGAACCUGGUAGAACCAUAGCUUCUUAGCCACAACUCCGAUUUUAGUAGUUCUCGAUCCCACGAUCUCGUAGCUUCGCGUAGAUUAUUAUUACGCAGAUUAUUCUUAUGUUUAGUGUGAUGCUAAUUUUGCCUAUAUCAUGUUUGUCUGUAUUGCUACGUUUAGCAGUGAGGACACGUGUCAUCUGAAGAUCAUCCCAAGCAAGUUGUGCCCUUGAUCACUUCUUUUUAUCCAAUCAUGUUCUUAUUAAUCAUAAUGAUCUGCAUAGGUUAAUUUUUAUGGGACCCAAUACGUUACCCUAGUUUGACUAUCUUUAUACCUUGUUUACCACUGAAUUUUUGGGUAGUACCUGCUAUUGCUUUAUGUGGUUUUGGGUAUAGAGAUACACAUUAUUCACGAUUAUACUUUUAUUAUCAGUUGUUAUUUACUGUUCAUGAUAAGAUCAUUAUUUUAAUUAGAACAUGGAGAACCACCCGGGAAAAUAGUGCUGCCACAAGGGUGGUAUGGGACGCUCUUGGCUGACUAAUGAGGAAAGCUAGUGGAGGACUACCUUACCCGAAAGGGGCAAGGGCAGUAGGGGAGUCGUCAGUGUAGGGAGGCCCUUGGGUUGAUUUUGUUGCGAUGGCGGUCACGCGAGGGGUCCUUGCAUUGGAGCUUCCAAGAAAUUGUAGUUGGUUUUCUGAAGAUAGUGGAACUUUGUAAAGGCCUCAUAGUGUUACCCUGCCUUGCCUCCUCGGUAGAGGUGUAUGGAAAGUUGCGAUCCCUUGGCAGAUGGGUAACAUGACUUGUGGGUAAAGAUAUGCAACCUCUGCAGUGUAAAACUAGUAUACUAGCCAUGCUCAUGGUCAUGAGCAGCUCGGACACUCACAUGAUUAACUUAUGGAUUAAACUUAAUUUCUCAUAUGCAUUGGAUUGUGGAAUUUAUUAUUAUUUUGAUCUACUACUUAAUUGGGUUGGUAUCUACUUAUACUUAGUAAUUGCUAAUAAAAUUUUGACCAACUUUAAAAACAAUGCUCAGCUUUAACUAUCCUCUUUGGUAAGCCUUACACUUCACAUGAGCUCCCACCUUUGGUGAGUUCAUGCACAUUAUUCCCCACAACUUGUUGAGCGAUGAAUGUAUGUGAGCUCACUCUUGCUUUCUCACACCCCCCCCCCACACAGAUCAAGAACAGGUACCGUAGGAUGAGGCGCAUGGAGGAUGUUGUGACGAGUUCGUGAGAGGUCUAGGUCGUCGUCUCCCAGUCAACUUUGGGUUGCUGGAUCGUUGUCUCAUUAUGAUGUAAUUAUUUAUUUAUUUUGUACAUAACUCCUAUUAUAUAGUAAAUAUGUGACAUUCGUUUCUAUACCAUGAUUCAUCAUAUGUGUGAGACUUGGUCCCAGCACACCUGGUGAUUAUUUCGCGCCCAAGUUUUGGACCCCUAAAACCCGGGUGUGACAUACUCUAAAGAAUCUACGAGAAAAACAUUAGAAAUGGAAUGGUCGGGGGAUAUAGAAAUUUUACCCAAACGUUUGACCAAACCUUGAUUUCCAUCCCCGAAUGUGAUAGCUCUUUGGGGAUCUUCAUUUUUCUCAUAUGAGGAGAACAUCCUUUUCUCCACUGUCAUGUGGUUUGUGCAGCCACUAUUGAUUAUCCAACUUGAUCCACCGGAUGCAUAAACCUACAAAACGAAUUUAUGCCUUGUUCUUAGGUACCCAAACGGUCUUGGGUCCUUUGACAUUAGAAACAAGCACCUUGGGUACCCAAACACAAGUUUUUGGACUCUUGUGUUUACCCCAACAUAUUUGGCAACUACUUUGCCUGAUUUGUUAGUAAGCACAUAAGAAGCAUCAAAAGUCUUAAAUGAAAUGUUAUGCUCAUUUGAUGCAUUAGGAAUCUUCUUCUUAGGCAUUUUUACAUGAGUGGUAUGCCUAGAACUAGAAGCCUCAUUUUCAAAAAAGCGUGAUGAGAAAUAGUAUGAGGUUUUCUAGCAUGAAUUUUCCUAAUCUUGUGUUUAUGAUAGUUUGCAGGAUAUAAAAUAUAGCCCUCUGUAUCAUGAACCUUGGGAGCCUUGCCCUUUACAAAAUUAGAUAAUUUCUUAGGGGCAUUAAGUUUGGUGUUGUUUUGGCUCCCUUGUUGGAAACCAAUCCCAUCCUUAAUGCCAGGUCGUCUCCCAUUAUAGAGCAUGCUUCUAGAAAAUUUAAACUUUUCAUUUUCUAGCUCAUGCUCAACAAUUUUAGCAUUUAAUUUAGCUAUGUGAUCAUUUUGUUCUUUAAUCAUAUCAAUGUGAUCAUCAAUAGCUUCAACAUUAAUAUCUCUACAUCUAGUACAAAUAGUAACAUGCUUAAUAGAAGAUGUAGAGGGUUUGCAAUCAUUCAAUUCUUCAAUCUUAGCAAUUAAAUUAUCAUUCUCAAUUCUAAGGAUGGAAAUUGAAUCAUUGCACAUGCUAAACUCCUUAGACAAAUUUUCACAUUUUUCUACUUCUAGAGCAUAAGUAUUUUUCGAUUUAACAUUUUUUUGUUUUCCUUAACGAUCAAGUCCUCUUGGCAUUCCAAGAGAUCAUCUUUCUCGUUAAUGGUUUCUAUUAAUUCAUUCAAUUUUUUUGGUCCAUGUCAAGGUUGGCAAAGAGAGAAAUUAAAUUAUCUUCAUUAUCGCUAGAGCUACCCUCAUCAUCAGAUGUAGUAUAUUUAGGGGUGGCUCUAGUGUAUACCUUCUUCUUCUUACCGUCCUUAGCCAUGAGACACUUGUGGCCGACAUUGGGGAAGAGAAGUCCCUUGUUGACGGUGAUGUUGGUGGCAUCCUCGUCGGAGGAGGAGUCGGUGGAGCUCUCAUCGGAGUCCCAUUCCCGCCCCAUGUGCGCCUCACCGCCCUUCUUCUUGUAGUACUUAUUCUUGUCCAUCUUCUUCUUCCCUUUCUUGUCUUCGUCCCUACCACUUUCACUAGAAUAUGGACAUUUAGCUAUGAAGUGACUGGACUUACCACAUCGGUAGCACACCCUCUUGGAGCGGGGUUUGUAGUCCUUCCCCCUCCUUUGCUUGAGGAUUUGAAGAAAGAUCUUAAUGAUAAGAGCCAUCUCCUCGUUGUCGAGCUUGGAGGCGUCGAUCGGGAGCCUCUUGAUGUAGACUCCUCCUUUUCUUCCGUUGCUUUGAAUGCAACGGGUUGCACUUCGGGUGUGGAGGUGACGCCUUGCUCCAAGUUGACAAUAUGUUUGGAGUCUUUGAUCAUAAGUUCAAAGCUCACAAACUUGCCAAUCACCUCCUUGGGAGACAUCUUUUUAUAUCUAGGAUCCCCACGUAAUUGAACUUGAGCAGGAUUACGAAAAACGAGGGAUCUAAGACCUUGACCUUUUCAUGGUCAUCCCAUUUUGUGUUCCCGAGGUUGCGCACUUGAUUGACCAUCAUCUUGAGCCGGUUGUACAUGGCUUGCGGCUCUUCCCCUUUUUUGAGGACGAAUCGACCGAGUUCUCCCUCGAUCGUCUCCCGCUUGGUGAUCUUGGUCACCUUGUCCCCUUUGUGCGCUGUUUUGAGGACGUCCCAAAAUUCUUUGGCAUUCUUUAACCCUUGCACCUUAUUAUACUCCUAUCGACAUAAAGAGGCGAGGAGUAUAGAAGUUACUUGGGAGUUAAAGUGCCUAAUUUGGGCGGCCUCGUCCGAAUCAUAGUCCUCGUCCCCCCUGUGGUGCCUGCACUCCAAAUUCUACAUUGUCCCAUAUGCUUUCGUGGAGUGAGGCUAGAUGAUGCCUCAUUUUAUCACUCCACAUAUAAUAAUCUUCACCAUCAAAAUAUGGUGGCUUGCCUAAGGGAACGGAAAGUAGAGGAGCACGCUUGGAAAUACGGGGAUAGCGUAGGGGCAUCUUACUAUACUUCUUGCGCUCAUGGCGCUUAGAAGUAGUGGACGACUCGGUGCAGGAUGUGGAGGGUGUUGAAGAGUCGGUCUCGUAGUUGACCACCUUCUUCAUCAUCUUUUUCUUCUUGUCGCCCCUCCUAUGUGACUUGAUGGAGGAAGAGGAUUUCUCCUUGUACUUGUUGCCGGACUCCCUUGAUGUAGUCUUCCCCGAGCCCGUGGACUUGUCGCCGGUCACGAUCUCCCUCUUGGCAUGAUCUCCAGACAUCACUUCGAGUUUGUUAGACUCUUAAUAAAGCACUGGCUUUGAUACCAAUUGAAAGUCGCCUAGAGGGGGGUGAAUAGGCGAAACCUGAAAUUUAUAAACUUAAACACACCCUAAGGCCGGGUUUAGCGUUAGAAUUAAUUCUGAGUGCGGAAGAUUGUUUCUCUUGCUAUGAGUUGCUCAAUUAAUGCGGAUAACGUUUGGGAGCAAACUCAAAUCAAUAUUAGCAAGGAAACUUAAGAGAGAGGAAAGAGGAAAAACAAAUCAAAUGGAAAUCAACACAAGUGAACGCGGUGAUUUGUUUUACCAAGGUUCGGUUCCAAAGAACCUAGUCCUCGUUGAGGAGGCCACAAAGGCCGGGUCUAUUCCAACCCUUUCCCUCUCUCAAUCGGUCACUUAGACUGGAUGAUCCUUCUCCUUAAUCAAUCCGGCCACUAAGACCCCGCAAGGACCACCACACACUUAGGUGUCUCUUGCUAGCUUUACAAAGCACUUAAGAAUAAGAAUGGGAAGGAGAGAAGGCAAUCCAAGCAACAAGAGCGCAAAUGAACACAAAAACUCUCUCUCUCAAGUCACUAUGUGGUUGAGUUGAUUUUGGGACUUGGAGAGGAUUUGCUCUUUGGAAUUGUGUCUUGGAGUGAAUGUUAUUGCUCUUGUAUUGAAUGAGGAUCUUAGAGAACUUGGAUCUUUGAAUGGAGGUGGUUGGGGGCAUUUAUAGCCUCCAACCACUUCCUAGCCGUUGGCUGACCUUGUUGUCGAUGGGCACACCGGACAGUCCGGUGGUGCACCGGACAGUCACUGUUCACUGGCCGGUGCGCGCCACGUCAGCGCGCCCAUUGGGGUUUGGAGCUGUUGACCGUUGGAACCCUUUGUCCUUUUGCUGCACCGGACAGUCCGGUACCACACCAGACAUGUCUGGUGACCUCUAACUUCUGCGCUCUGACUUCUGCCGCGCACUACUUUCCACUGUACACUUUUGUAGUCGACCAUUGACACGCAGGUAGCCAUUGCUCCGUUGACUCACCGGACAUGUCUGGUGCACAUCGGACAGUCCGGUGAAUUAUAGCGGAGAGCGCCCAGAGAAUUUUGGAGAGUGGCCUCUUCGUUUGGUCGAGGGCCUGGUGCACCGAACAGUGUCCAGUGCAUCACUUGUCAGCACACUCUCAUGCCUUGCUCCUAAUUUGAUUGUGUACCCAACUGAAUUUCUUUCUUGGUUUGUGUUGAACCUUAUGCACCUGAGAUAAAUGAUAUCUAGACAAACUAGUUAGUCCAAGUGGUUUGUGUUGGACAUCAACCACCAAAAUCGAUUAUAGGAAAUGAUUAAAUCCAUUUCCCUUUCACUUGGUAAGUGGCUCUAUCCGAUGAGAUUCGAAGAACUAAACGGUUUAUUCCGGUUUAAGUGUGUUGUUGCCUUUAAAGGUGCGACUUGGGCACUUAAGCUGGAAUAAUUCGGGUUGUUCUGCCACAGCUGGUAUUGGAGCGAUUACCAUUAUAGAGGAAUCAAUAAGUCAUGAAUGCCAACUUUUACAAAAUAAAAUUUGAUUAGAAACCAGUGUUGGAUCGUCAGGACUAGAAUGCUAGAUCUAGGACGAAAGGCCUUAAGAAUAAUGGGGUAGAUAGGUGGCUAUAUAAAUAGGCCAUAAAGGUCGACAUUAGGAUAGUAGGGAUGCCCUAGGAGCACCCCUAUGAUCGAUGAGAGGACACUCAUUCAAGCAUGCAUGCAUUGUAGAACAGAAAUAAUUAAAAGUUAAGGAAAACACAUCGAAUCAUGACCCCUAGCAACAUUAGUUAAAAAUGGGUAGCAAGAAAAUGAGUUGGAAUAGAUAUAUCUAGGUUGAUCCACCUCCUUUAAAACUUAAGCACACUUAUCUCCUUACCGCUACCUUAGCACUAACAUUUCACCCUCUUCCACAGAUGUCUUCACCCACCCCUGCCAAUGGAGGAGACAACCGCUUCAGCUUUGACUACCUUUCCCACGAGGGCUUUCCCUCUAUGUUGUGGGAGGUGCUCUGCUCCACUGGAUACCCCACACACCCUCUGUACAUGGUGCAGCUAUACGAGGAGCAUCGGGUGCCAUGUUGCAGGGUUUAGCUGACCUUGGAGUCCCACCCUCUGCAGCCUGGGCGGCGUUCCCUUGAUUCCGAGACUGUCGGGUUCAGGGUGGACGACACCACUGAGGCCGCAGCACUAAAGGCCUUGACAACCUUCUGUGGAUAUCAUCCCCUGGAGAUGAUGAUGCACCCACUUGGACUCUUCCCCGCCGAGAAAAGGGAUGACCCAAUGUGGUGCAGCAAAGUGAGUCAUGUGAAGGAUGUGUGGGCCAUGCAUCCCGACCAGGUUCGGAGGAUCACUGUCCAGUGCAUGAGUGCAUUGUACCACCUCUAGGCCUUGCAGAGCGACGCCAUGACACAUCUCACUGGGCUCGCUCAGGCUACAAAGAUCACCCUCAACAAUCGAGAGGACUUCGUAGUCAACUUGUCUUCGUAAUUGGUGGAGAAAAAUCUACAAGUGGAACAUAUGAACCAGCGCAUCGUGACUCUGUUGCAGUAGGUGGAGAUUCGGGAUAACACCAUCGAUAUCCUAAAAAUACAGCUCCAUGAUGUGCAGGAAGAGCUUGCGGAGGCCAACGCUCACCUAGAAAUACACCACCAAGACAUGGAAGCUAAUGAGGCAAGCAGCGAGGGAGAGGAGGAUCUCGAGGAGAUAGAGCCAGCUUCCGGACCGAACACGACUCCCUUUGGAGUGCCCCUUCACCUGCAUCCAGCGUUGCCUCUACUAAUCGUGGUUAGACGGGUUAGAUUUAACAUGUUAGGAGAAUGGGAAAACCACAUAAGCUUAGUUUUUGGUACCAACUUUUGAACUAGGCUUUAGGGUGGAUCCCAUAAAAUCCUAAACUAGUGCAUUAGACCAACUCAACCAUGAGCAGAAGAGCUAACUCAGCCAAUACAGUCAUGAUGAAUUGUAUAAUCUAUCUAUCCCUGUCGGUAUUUUGGGUCCGACCGCACACCCGGGGUUGCCCCUCAAGGUGUUUUUAGGAGUAGGACGGUGUCAACGACUGUAGCAAAAUGGUUCGUGCCGGUCGCACGAGGGACAAUGGACAAGAUUUGCAGGUUCGGGCCGCUUAGAGAUGCGUAACACCCUACGUCCUGGUGAGUAUUCGAGUGUGGUUACAGGAGGGCUCUCUGGAUUGGAGGUACCGAGAGUUUACGUGGGUGGCUAAGUAAAAUAGGGUCGAUCGAUCUGAAGGGGUGCCCCCUAGGCCUUAUAUACUCGACCGUGGGGCAGUACACGUGGAUAUGAUAACAACAAGUAGCUGAAAGGUAGUGAACCUCUUGAGUUUAUCCCUACGUAACCCUCGCCGACUUAUCCUCGCACGGCUCCAUUGCAUGGGGGCUUCAGCGCGGGAAAGUCGGGUCUCUGUUGCGAUUUACUCGUUUCGACGUUGUGGGCCGUCCGGGUUUGCUCCAAUCCAGUCUUACGUCUUCUCUGCUUUGUUGAUUGUCUUUCCCCAGGCCCACGAAAGAACGACCUUACGAUUUAUUGGGCCCUUGGGCCUUUCGUGAGGUCUUUUAUCUCUUUAGUGGACCCAGGGGAUAUCUAUCCCCCACAAGCCCCCGAUCUUUGGGUUGAUUUAGAGGUAAUCAACUCAAAGAUCCAAGGUCCAAGAAGUGACUUCCUGCUGUCUUCUCUUGCUCCGACCACUCGUUCGACCAAAGUUUAGUUUUGUGCUUGUGCCUUAGAGGUCGGCAUUUUGAAUUGUAGGAUUCUGGACUUCAUUGGGUGCACCGGAGGUGCACCCAAUGGGUGUAGCCCCCGACCUUUGAGUAGAUUUUAGAAGAUAAUCUACUCGAAGGUCUUCCCCAAAGAUUAUCUCCAUUCGCGCUCCUGCAUCUCGGUUGAGGAUUGGUCUUUUCAAUCUCGACCCACGCCUUAGAAGUCGGCGCUAUAUCGGUUUAGAAUGAUAAUCCAUGGGGUGCACCGGAGGUGCACCCAAUGGGUGUAGCCCCCGACCUUCAAAUGGAUUUUUUAAGGAUAAUCCAUUCGAAGGUCUUCCUUUUGCUUGAAAAAAUUGGCAUGAAGCUAUUCGCAUUAUGCUUUGGAGGUCAGCAUUAUGUCAUCAAAAUUUUGCUGCAGAGGUCAGCAUAUAUUUUGUCUUUAGCAGCCGAGUUUGCAAUCCGUCCAUAUCUUGCUAGGUAAUGCAAUUUAUUUGCUUCUGCGACUUGAUUGGACGCCUGAUGGACGUUCUCUGUCUAGUCCUCACAUCGCUUCUGUCGGUCAUAUCUUGUACUUUGCUGGCUAUAUUUGGCUUUCCUCUGAUCCUUACUGAUGUCUCAUUUUUGUCUUGAGGUAUUUACUGUGUGCCCUGCACGGAUGUGACCGUUUUGAAAAAUAUACUGAUAAUUCCUGGGCGUCCCCCCCCAAUGGGUGUGGGCAAGGGACGGCUUGGUACGCUGAGUGUUUUAGCCGGCUGCUUCUGAGUAGUAAUGUGAUGGGACGGCUAGUGUAAUCAUAUCCUUCGCGCUGUUGACUGGAGUCCCAAUGGGUGUAGUAUUGCAUGAAACGGCGUCAGCCGUCUGACGUGUCUUCAGAUGGGUGGGAGUGCUUAUUGAAUGCUUUGCGACUGUUCAGUGACCGCGGUUGGAAGUGAGCGGUUGCCUUUCCUUUCUAUAAAUAACGCCCUUGCUC